rnacentral:rRNA from 1 species
ACUAGCAGUAAGAGUUUGAUCAUGGCNCAGGACGAACGCUGGCGGCACGCCUAACACAUGCAAGUCGAACGGCCCCUUCGGGGGCAGUGGCGGACGGGUGAGUAACGCGUGGGAACCUGCCCCUUGGUUCGGGACAACCCGGGGAAACCCGGGCUAAUACCGGAUGCGCUCCUGGCUUUGGCUGGGAGGAAAGAUUGAUCGCCGAGGGAUGGGCCCGCGUCGGAUUAGGUUGUUGGUGAGGUAACGGCUCACCAAGCCUACGAUCCGUAGCUGGUCUGAGAGGAUGAUCAGCCACACUGGGACUGAGACACGGCCCAGACUCCUACGGGAGGCAGCAGUGGGGAAUCUUGGACAAUGGACGCAAGUCUGAUCCAGCGAUGCCGCGUGAGCGAUGAAGGCCUUAGGGUUGUAAAGCUCUUUCGCCCGCGACGAUGAUGACGGUAGCGGGAGAAGAAGCCCCGGCUAACUCCGUGCCAGCCGCCGCGGUAAUAC